rnacentral:rRNA from 1 species
AUAUCAAUAAGCGGAGGAAAAGAAACUAACAAGGAUUCCCCUAGUAACGGCGAGUGAAACGGGAAUAGCCCAACUUGAAAAUCUCCCUUUGGAGAAUUGUAGUCUAUAGAAGCGCCAUCUGUGGCGGCCGGAGCCCAAGUCUGUUGGAAAACAGCGACAGAGAGGGUGAGAUCCCCGUCGGUUCUAGGCUUAGCUACUUCACGAGGUGCUUUCCACGAGUCGGGUUGUUUGGGAAUGCAGCCCAAAAUGGGAGGUAAAUCCCUUCUAAGGCUAAAUACUGGCGAGAGACCGAUAGCGCACAAGUA